rnacentral:rRNA from 1 species
GACGAACGCUGGCGGCGUGGAUUAGGCAUGCAAGUCGCGCGACAGACCCUUCGGGUUAUGGAGCGGCGAACGGGUGAGUAACACGUGAGAAAUCUACCUUUACGUUCCGGAUAAUUGGAAGAAUUCCUUGUAAGUACGGGGGGAGGUUCCUGGAUAGGCAUCUAUAGAGGAACAAGCGAGCAAUCGGCGACAAAGAUGAUCUCGCGGCUUAUCAGGUAGUUGGGUGGGGUAACGGCCUACCAAGCCUACGACGAGUAGCUGGUCUGAGAGGAUGGUCAGCCACAUUGGAACUGAGACACUGUCCAGACUCCGUACGGGGAGGCUGCAGGUCGAAGAAUUCGUUGGG